GAAAUCACGCUCACUCACUUGACGGCUAGAAUUAGGGUUUUCAUCUUGUAUUCUCGCCGUUGUACUUUUCUGACCGACAGCUUCCGAGCUCCGGUCUCUCUUCCUCACCGUUUGUUUCCUCUUUUGUACACCGACCAAACUCUUUCUCAUCUGAAUAAAAACGUCUUCGACUAAACCCACAAUCGAAAUCUGUCUACUUUAGCAUAGAACCGUUUUCCGAUCAAACAGCUACCACAGGGGAUUCGGCGUAUGGUUAGGUUUAAAGGAAUCUGAUUUCCCGAUAGGCCAUGACCAACACGCUUUUGGACUGCCUCUUGUGAAGUGGACAGGCGAUUUAGCGCUAGGAGACUAUCUCCGAUCUCAAGUCUACUCUGUUUGAAGGCACUCAAAGUUAGCACUUCGUGCAGGGUUUGGCAAUAAGAUGAGCGGGCAGAUCACCUUAUCUUGUAUUACAGGUGCGUACCCCCAUACAAUUUGUUCACCAGGAUCUUACCGUUUUUCCUUGGUCAAUUGAAAGCAAUGGUAGGUGCUCUAACUGCUCACUAGUCUCCACAUAUUGUAGCGUCGAAAUGAGCUGGAUGAUGAUGACAUACAAACUCUAAGGGGAUUUCUUGGAGAAGUCAAUCUGUGAAUAUUGCAAAGCUUUAACUUUGGAGAUGACCAGAUGCUGUAAAUAUAUGUCUCUGCCUUUAGUGCAUUGGGUAGCUGUAAAAGUGUAAAGUAAAGAAAGUGUAGAGAUGAGUCGAGCAACCCAUUGCCCAUUUGUAGAGGAAAGACGAGCUGGGUUACUUCACCUAGCGUCUUAAGGCGGCAAAGAUGUGACAAAGCAUCAUGGAGACUUUUAAGGAUAAGAAUGUUCAAAGUCUUAGGUCAGCUUCUUUACUUAGAAAAUAAGGUAGAAAGUAAGAACUUGCAAAGACUAAUCAAACUCGAACUAAAAGUCUUUGUGUGAUGUA